CGGAGGAUGCAAGCGUUAGUCCGGAAUCAUUGGGUUUAAAGGGUCCGUAGGCGGUUUAAUAAGUCAGUGGUGAAAGCCCAUCGCUCAACGAUGGAACGGCCAUUGAUACUGUUAAACUUGAAUUAUUAGGAAGUAACUAGAAUAUGUAGUGUAGCGGUGAAAUGCUUAGAGAUUACAUGGAAUACCAAUUGCGAAGGCAGGUUACUACUAAUAUAUUGACGCUGAUGGACGAAAGCGUGGGGAGCGAACAGGAUUAGAUACCCUGGUAGUCCACGCCGUAAACGAUGGAUACUAGCUGUUCGGAGCAAUCUGAGUGGCUAAGCGAAAGUGAUAAGUAUCCCACCUGGGGAGUACGUUCGCAAGAAUG
rnacentral:rRNA from 1 species